ensembl:lncRNA
AUGGAAAGGAAAGUUCUUGCACUCCAGGCGAGGAAGAAAAGGACAAAGGCGAAAAAACCCGGCAAAAAACCAGACCCUGUACCGCGGGGAGGUGCGUCCAAGCAGAAUGACUCUCCUAUCCCAGACCAGGAUGAGGAGAUACUGGGCUCUGAUGACGAGGAGCAGGAGGAUCCCAACGACUACUGUAGAGGAGGUUACCACCAUGUGAAGAUAGGAGACCUGUUCAAUGGAAGAUACCAUGUGAUCAGGAAGCUGGGCUGGGGACAUUUCUCCACUGUAUGGCUGGCCUGGGACAUACAGGGGAAGCGUUUUGUGGCCAUGAAGGUGGUGAAGAGUGCAGAGCACUACACUGAGACGGCCCUGGAUGAGAUCAAGCUGCUGAGAUCGGUGAGGAACACGGACCAGAACGACCCCAGCAGAGAGAAGGUGGUUCAGCUACUAGACGACUUCAAGAUCUCUGGCAUGAACGGAAGUCAUGUCUGUAUGGUGUUUGAGGUUUUGGGUCAUCACCUGCUGAAGUGGAUCAUCAAGUCUAACUACCAGGGCCUUCCUCUGCCCUGUGUCAAGAGCAUCAUUCGACAGGUUCUCCAGGGGCUGGACUACCUCCACUCAAAGUGUAAGAUCAUCCACACAGACAUCAAGCCAGAGAACAUCUUGUUGACUGUUAACGAGCCCUACAUUAGGAAUAUGGCUGCUGAAGCUACGGAGUGGCAGAGGACAGGAGCUCCACCCCCCUCUGGAUCUGCAGCAACAGGCAGUCUGUUGGUCAACCCUCUGGAACCUCUCAAUGCAGACAAGAUCCAGAUCAAAAUAGCUGACCUGGGGAAUGCCUGCUGGGUGCACAAGCACUUUACAGACGACAUCCAAACUCGUCAGUACCGUUCUCUGGAGGUGCUGAUGGGAGCCGGCUACGGGACGCCUGCUGAUAUCUGGAGCACUGCCGCAAUGGCUUUUGAGCUGGCUACAGGAGACUACCUGUUUGAGCCUCACUCUGGGGAGGACUACUCUAGAGAUGAAGAUCACAUAGCUUUGAUCAUUGAGUUGUUGGGUAAAGUUCCUAAGAAGCUGAUCCUGGCUGGAAAAUACUCCAAGGAGUUCUUCACCAAGAAAGGUGACCUGAGGCACAUUACCAAGCUGAAGCCAUGGGGUCUGUUGGAGGUGUUGGUGGAGAAGUAUGAGUGGUCUAAAGAGGAGGCAGCUACCUUCGCUAGCUUCCUUUUCCCAAUGUUGGACCUGGUACCAGAGAAGAGAGCUACGGCUGCAGAGUGCCUCCGACACGCAUGGAUCACCCCCUAGAGGAGCCACAGCGCUACUACAGCCAACAAGCAGCUCAUACAGUACACACAUGCAUACAUACAUUAACAUAUGUACAUACACACAAACAUACAUACAUACGUACUCACAAGCAUUCACACACAUAUAGAUACACAUUAAGAGGAAGCCGUUGCCAGCACCAUGCCUGCAUUGCCUCCCUAAUGGCUCAACACACGCACAAACCACGCUAGACUGGCUACUGAAGCCCUACUGGUGGCCUUCAUAGAAAACACUGGUUCCAGAUAAAUAAACACAAGGAAGCCCGAUCCA